CCGAGUUUACAACUCCUCAACCCUGUGAAACAUACCUACUGUUGCUUCGGCGGGAUCAGACCGCUCCGGUAACAACGGGCCGCCCCCGCCAGAGGACCCUAACUCUGUUUUUAUAUGUAACUUUCUGAGUAAACAUCAAAUAAAUCA
rnacentral:misc_RNA from 1 species